GCCGGGCACGGUGGUGCAUGCCUGUAGUCCCAGCUACUCGGGAGGCUGAGGCAGGAGGAUUGCUUGAGCCUAGGAGAUCGAGGCUGAAGUGAGAUUUGGCACACUACUGUAACUCUAGCCUGGGAAACAGAGCAAGAUUCUGUCUCAA
rfam:Homo sapiens chromosome 16, GRCh38 reference primary assembly.